rnacentral:rRNA from 1 species
AUGUGUGCAAGGCACAUUUACUCAAACUGGAAGAAAAAACAUAAUGACAAAGAUUUGCAAAAGAGAUUAUGGAGAUGUGCAAAGGCUCCUAACAAGUCUCUAUUCAACUAUAACAGGGCAAGGUUGACUCAAUUCACAGUUGAAGGAGCAAAGGACAUGAUGAACACAGACCCAAUUCACUGGAGCAGGGCUUACAUGAAAUUGGGAAGCUACUGUGAUUUAGUUGACAAUAACAUGCGCGAGUCAUUCAACAAUUGGAUCAUGGAAUCAAGAUAUCUACCUAUUAUAUCUAUGUUGGAGUGGAUAAGAUGCAAAAUUAUGGUGAGGAUACAAGAAUGCAUUACCAAGUGUUUGAAAUGGUCAGGAAUCAUAUGUCCAAACAUAUUUAAGAAACUAAAGCAGAAUAUAGCAAGAUCUGGAAAUUGUCAUGUGCUCUGGAAUGGAAGAGAUGGGUUUGAGGUGUUAGAGCAUGAUAAAUACAAGUACAUUGUGAAUUUGCAAACUAGGGUUUGUUCUUGUAGAUAUUGGCAGCUAUCUGGUCUACCCUGCUGCCAUGCAAUAAGCUGCAUCUACAAGAGCUCACAACAGUUGGAUGCAUACAUAGUUGAGUGUUAUUCCAUUAAGACUUACAAGAAAAUUUACUCUCAUGUGUUGGAGCCAUUGGAAGGUCAGUCAAAUUGGCCGGUUGCUGAUCAUGUGAGGCCCCAAGCACCUGGUUACAUCAAAAUGCCAGGCAGGCCAAGGAAAGAAAGGAAAAGAGAAGAAGGAGAAGCACCAAAAGGGAUAAAAAUGAGUAAGGUGGGUGGACAAAUCACCUGCAGUUCAUGCAAUAGGACUGGCCAUAACAUGUCAAGUUACAAAAAUAAUGUUGCUGCAACUAAGCAUCAUGGAAAUGCACAUAUUGUCAGAGAAAGGUCUAGGAAAAGGAAACUGUAG